UUUUGGGAUUGGGAAUGUGAUCAAGCAGUGAAGAUUUGAUGGGUUGUAUAAGAAGGUUUUUGAUGGGUUGUAUGAGAAGGUUGGUCAGUGGUGAGAGAGAAAAAACAAGCAACUUCCAACCCUUGUGAGCAACCCAAGCUGAGUGGAGAGCAACCUAACCCAGAUUGUGAGGGAAACCCUAUAGAGUGUGUUAAAGAUGGAGUGUUCAUUGAGAUACCACCAAAAGUUUCAAAGAAAGUUAUCUAGGUGGAAAAAACCAAUCACCUCAGAAAAAAGCUUGACACACUUCCUGAU
rnacentral:lncRNA from 1 species